GUUGAACUCUGCAAUUGAUGAGGUUUCUGCUCAGCUUCGCACAGAGGAUCCCCCAAAUGGAGUGGCUGUGAACUCUGACGAAGUUGAACCUGCCAUUUGAAAGUAUCGUCUCAUCACGUUGGUCUUCCUGCACCGCCCACGACUCUGGGACUCGGAAUAAUAGUUAAUAUUCUAGCUAUUAUCUUUGAUUUUCUCUUUUUUGAACAUUUGAAUCCGAGCUUUGAUGUGCAAUAUCCAUCCUCGCAUAAUGUGUUGCUUUGAUCGCUCAAAUGCUCCAUAUAAAGUUGA
rnacentral:misc_RNA from 1 species